UCUUUGGAAGUGGACUAAAUCUGCAAGACCUGUCCGGCCAAAUGGCUGCUGACUCCUCCAACUCAAUAUUAUAAAAACAUAAUGUAGGGAUCAGCACAUC